GUUCUAAAUUAUCACAGAAUUAUUUUAACAAUCAAUAUCUACUGUUAAAUUAGUAUUUUCUAACACAGUUCUUAAUGCUUAGUUCUGAUGAUUCAACCUGAAGAGUUGCAUGUAGAUUCGAGCUGUACAGGUGCUCCAACUGUGAGUCACAUAACUUUUUCUGUGGGACUUUUAGUUUUAGUUUAGUUGCCUCCUCCACUUUAACUCGAUAACAUGUCAGUGUUUUGAUCAUAGCUGGUUGUGCUGCCCCCAAGUGCCCAAAGAAAAUAAUGAAUGCAAGUUUGAACCAACAUGGAGGAAUACAGUAAAAAAUAGCAUGUUCAGAUAUUCAUAUUCAUCCAGGAUGAUAAGUUCAACACUAUGAAACUUUUAAUCAAUAUUUCAGGUGCAGGAGAAACACAGAAUAUGUAAUCGAUCUUAAUACGUGUAGAAGAAGGCAAGAACUGGGAUGAUGCUCAGAGUUACUGCAGGGAGCACUACACUGACCUGGCCAGUGUGAGGAACCAAGCUGAGCAUGACUGGUUAGUGAUGAAUGGACAUGGGUGGAUCGGCCUCUACAGAGACUCAUGGAAGUGGUCAGAUGGGACUGCACAUUCAUUCAGUAAUUGGGCUCCCAGUUCACCAUCCAGCAGACUCGAAAAUAUUUGUGCCAUUUCAAACUUGGGCAAAUGGUAUAACCAUGACUGCAACUGACUGCGGCUGAACUUUGUUACGUUGUUUAACCAGAGACUGAACGACAAUGGACUGACUGAAGACGUCAAACUGAGAUGGGUGAAGCAGCCUGAUGGGAAGAUCUUCCACAAGGAAGAAAAAGAGGAGGAGGGGGAGGAGAAGAUCUGUGACAGGGAUCCUUACAAAAUAUUGACAUGAAUGGAAAGUUGCAAUGAAAUUGACAAUGGAUGCUUGAUUUUUGAUCCUGUAUAUCUAAGCUCAUGAUUUUCAUGCUGUUACACUGCAUUUAAUUGAGUUGCAGUGGCACAUUUAGUUGUAAGUUCAGCUACUAAUGUCAUAAAAUACAUACACACAGUGUGAUUGAUUACUGCGCUAAUUAUUACUUAAAUGGAAGGGCUUUUCUUGGUUUUCAUUUCCAUGGUUAUUUUUAUUGUGCGUGUUAGUGAAUUGAUAUCUAAUGUUGAUGAUCAUAAUUUUUGUCAAGAAAGACUUGGAAUGGUAAAUAGUGUAAAAAGUAUGGAGGUAGGAAUGUGUCACAAUUACAGAAUAAUAAACAACGAUAAAAUAAUAAUAA